rnacentral:rRNA from 1 species
ACUAAGCAUAUCAAUAAGCGGAGGAAAAGAAACCAACAGGGAUUGCUUUAGUAACGGCGAGUGAAGCGGCAAUAGCUCAAAUUUGAAAUCUGGAGCCUUGGGUCCCCGAGUUGUAAUUUGAAGAGGAUAUUUCGGAUCGGCCCUGAUCUAAGUUCCUUGGAACAGGACGUCAUGGAGGGUGAGAAUCCCGUACAUGGUCGUGGGCUUGAUCCAUGUGAAAUACCUUCGAAGAGUCGAGUUGUUUGGGAAUGCAGCUCAAAAUGGGUGGUAAAUUUCAUCUAAAGCUAAAUAUUGGCGAGAGACCGAUAGCGCACAAGUAGAGUGAUCGAAAGAUGAAAAGCACUUUGAAAAGAGAGUUAAACAGUACGUGAAAUUGUUGAAAGGGAAGCGCUUGCAAUCAGACUCACCUGCGGUUGAUCAACGUUCCUUCUGGUUCGUGCACUCUGCCGUUUGUGGGCCAGCAUCAGUUAGAGCGGUGGGACAAAGGUAGCGGGAAUGUGGCUCUCUUCGGGGAGUGUUAUAGCCCGUUGCGUAAUGCCACCAGCACUGACUGAGGUCCGCGGUUCGCCUAGGAUGCUGGCUUAAUGGUUGUAAGCGACCCGUCUUGAAACACGGACCAAGGAGUCUAACAUCUAUGCGAGUCUUUGGGUGUCAAACCCAUGGGCGAAAUGAAAGUGAACGGAGGUGGGAGUCCUCGGAUGCACCAUCGACCGAUCCUGAUGUUCUCGGAUGGAUUUGAGUAGGAGCAUAGCUGUUGGGACCCGAAAGAUGGUGAACUAUGCCUGAAUAGGGUGAAGCCAGAGGAAACUCUGGUGGAGGCUCGCAGCGGUUCUGACGUGCAAAUCGAUCGUCAAAUUUGGGUAUAGGGGCGAAAGACUAAUCGAACCAUCUAGUAGCUGGUUCCUGCCGAAGUU